GUAGGGAAUCUUCCACAAUGGACGAAAGUCUGAUGGAGCAACGCCGCGUGAGUGAAGAAGGUUUUCGGAUCGUAAAGCUCUGUUGUUGGUGAAGAAGGAUAGAGGCAGUAACUGGUCUUUAUUUGACAGUAAUCAACCAGAAAGUCACGGCUAACUACGUGCCAGCAGCCGCGGUAAUACGUAGGUGGCAAGCGUUGUCCGGAUUUAUUGGGCGUAAAGCGAGCGCAGGCGGAAUGAUAAGUCUGAUGUGAAAGCCCACGGCUCAACCGUGGAACUGCAUCGGAAACUGUCAUUCUUGAGUGCAGAAGAGGAGAGUGGAACUCCAUGUGUAGCGGUGGAAUGCGUAGAUAUAUGGAAGAACACCAGUGGCGAGGGCGGCUCUCUGGUCUGCAACUGACGCUGAGGCUCGAAAGCAUGGGUAGCGAACAGGAUUAGAUACCCUGGUAGUCCAUGCCGUAAACGAUGAGCGCUAGGUGUUGGGGACU
rnacentral:rRNA from 1 species